rnacentral:rRNA from 1 species
GGGGAAUAUUGCACAAUGGGCGCAAGCCUGAUGCAGCCAUGCCGCGUGUGUGAAGAAGGCCUUCGGGUUGUAAAGCACUUUCAGCGAGGAGGAAGGGUUCAGUGUUAAUAGCACUGUUCAUUGACGUUACUCGCAGAAGAAGCACCGGCUAACUCCGUGCCAGCAGCCGCGGUAAUACGGAGGGUGCAAGCGUUAAUCGGAAUUACUGGGCGUAAAGCGCACGCAGGCGGUUUGUUAAGUCAGAUGUGAAAUCCCCGCGCUAACGUGGGAACUGCAUUUG